UACGGGGGGUGCAAGCGUUGUUCGGAAUUACUGGGCUUAAAGGGCUCGUAGGUGGCCAACUAAGUCAGACGUGAAAUCCCCAGGCUUAACCUGGGAACUGCGUCUGAUACUGGAUGGCUUGAAUUCGGGAGAGGGAUGCAGAAUUCCAGGUGUAGCGGUGAAAUGCGUAGAUAUCUGGAGGAACACCGGUGGCGAAGGCGGCAUCCUGGACGAAUGCUGACGCUGAGUGAGCGAAAGCCAGGGGAGCAAACGGG
rnacentral:rRNA from 1 species